rnacentral:rRNA from 1 species
GACGAACGCUGGCGGAAUGCUUAAUACAUGCAAGUCGAACGAAGAGGCUCUUUCGGGGGUACUUCAGUGGCGGACGGGUGAGUAACGCGUUGGUAAUCUACCUUACACUGGGGGAUAACAUCUGGAAACGGGUGCUAAUACCGCAUAUGUGCAAAGCUGGGAUGUUUUGUACGAAAGAUUUAUUGGUGUAAGAUGAGCCUGCGUAUGAUUAGCUAGAUGGUGGGGUAACGGCCUACCAUGGCGAUGAUCAUUAGUUGGUCUGAGAGGAUGGCCAGCCACAGUGGGACUGAGACACGGCCCACACUCCUACGGGAGGCAGCAGUAGGGAAUAUUGCGCAAUGGACGAAAGUCUGACGCAGCAAUUCCGCGUGAAGGAUGAAGCCUUUAGGGGUGUAAACUUCUGUCAAUAGGGAAGAACUAGACGGUACC